GCCCGUUUGGCCGAGUGGUUUAUGGCGGUGGUUUUAAGCACCAUUUUCGAAAGAAGCGUCGGUUCGAGCCCGACAGCGGGCA
rnacentral:tRNA from 1 species